AGUGAACGCUGGCGGCAUGCCUAACACAUGCAAGUCGAACGGCAGCACAGUAAUAGCUUGCUCUUCCGGGUGGCGAGUGGCGGACGGGAGAGGAGUACAUCCGAAUCUACUUUUUCGUGGGGGUUAACGUAGGGAAACUUACUCCAAUACCGCAUACGACCUACGGGUGAAAGCAUUGGAUCUUCGUACCUUGCGCGGGUGAAUUAGCCGAUGUCGGAUUAGCUAGUUGGCGGGGUAAAGGCCCACCAAUGCGACGCUCCGUAGCUGGUCUGAGAGGAUGAUCAGCCACACUGGAACUGAGACACGGUCCAGACUCCUACGGGAGGCAGCAGUGGGGAAUAUUGGACAAUGGGCGCAAGCCUGAUCCAGCAAUGCCGCGUGAGUGACGAAGGCCUUCGGGUUGUAAAGCCCUUUUGUUGGGAAAGAAAAGCAGCAGGUUAAUACCCAGCUGUUCUGACGGUACCCAAAGAAUAAGCACCGGCUAACUUCGUG
rnacentral:rRNA from 1 species